rnacentral:pre_miRNA from 1 species
CCUCCACCAACUUUUCACUUUUUAUCUAUAAUUUUUGACUCUUUGUUUUAUUUAAAUUUUUUUACGAUUGAUAUUUUUGUUUUUAUUAGAUAAUAAAUCAUGAAUAGUACUGUACGUGUGACUAUUUUUUUUCUAAUUUUCUGAAAUUUUUUCAAAUAAGACGAAUGGUUAAAUGUUUGACACAAAAAUCGAAG